GCUUCAGUUCAGGAGAAAAAAUUAGUUUUUCCCAUAGUGUCUUUAAGCAGACGCAGUACUUGUUCCCGUAUAUCAGGGAACUGAGGUUAUGUUAGUUACCGAGUACGUUUCCAAUGCUGGCCAGAUGCAGACAUGAGUACAGGUUAGUAAUUAAAUGUAUUAACUUUAACCAGCACCUUUUAAUAGCUGGAGUGGAUGUUGACUUGAUCCCGGAUCAAUGGACUCUACAUAAGUCAUGACUGUACCAGCAAAUGGAGCUCUUAGAGAAGAUAACCUGGCCUGCUGUGAAGAGGAUGCUGGGCCAUGAAUGUCCUGAUGAGAGUCCGAGCUGAAUAACAGCACUUCCUUAGUGACACACAGGACUCUGAAGAUGAGCCCUUUGAGGACAUCUGUGCAUUUGGUUAACCCUAAAAGAUAGUGUUAUUUUGCAACAUCUACCAAUUUUAGCAGACUCUGUUGUAAUUCUAUCAGGCCACAAGUUUGUUCUGAUGCUUUGUUUGAUGUUCAUUGUACAGUGCUGAUUUGCUUACCUAAAAGACAUUUUUGGUUAAAAGGAC
ensembl:lncRNA